AUGGCAAGUGCAUGGGACGCGACCUUCUCCCCAAGAUCGAUCGAUCGAUAUACAGUUCCCUCCUCGGCUCGAUCAGCUCGUUCUCCGUCCAUCUUCUUCUCCCCUCCGUUCUCGAUGGCCGUCGUUUGUGCCCAAGCCGUCGACUCUUGGCCCAUCUGGAACCUCCAAGGCUACGGGGUCGAGGACUGCGAGGAGACGCCCAUCUGGGAACUCGACGACUGCGAGGAGACGGCCGAGCUCGGCUCCGGGAGCUUCGGCACAGUCACCAAGGCGUGGUCCUACAAGACCGGCGAGAGCGUCGCCAUCAAGACCCUCGGCUCGAGCAGCCAUGACGCGGUCCGGCGGGAGGCCGACCUCCUCAGGGCGUGCCAUGGCCACCUCAACAUCGUCCAGCUGCGGGACAUGUCCUUCGACCGCAACGCCGACAGGCUCUCCCUCGUCAUGGAGUACGUCGGGCCGAGCCUCCACGACGUCCUCCACCGCGCCCGCCGCGGCUGCCCGUUCCAGGAGGACGUCGUGCGCUUCCUCAUGCGGCAGCUUCUGAGCGGCGCCGACCACAUGCACCGGCUGUGCCACGUCGUCCACCGGGACAUCAAGCCCGAGAACGUCCUCGUCGGCGACGGCGUCAAGAUAUGCGACUUCGGGCUCGCCAUGUCCAUGUCCCAGGCCCCGCCGUACGGCCACCGUGGCACCCGCAGCUACAUGGCGCCGGAGAUCCUCCUGGGGAAGCCCGACUACGACGCCACCGUGGACGCCUGGUCGCUGGGCUGCGUCAUGGCCGAGCUCCUCCUAGGCGAGCGGCUCUUUGGCCGCGCGGCGGACGACGCCGACCAGCUCCUCAGGAUCUUCUACGUACUAGGCGUGCCGGACCAGAUCUCCUGGCCGUCCUACAACUCCAUGCCGCUGGCCGGCGAGCUGGUGGCGCCGCCGAGCAUCCCCCACCGCAACAGGCUGCGCGAGGUGUUUCCAGAGGACUGCCUGUCCAGACAAGGUUUCCAAGUAUUGAGCGGCCUCCUCUCCUGCGACGCAGGCAAGAGGCUGUCGGCGGCUGACGCCCUCGAGCUUCCAUGGUUCACCACCAACUAG
rnacentral:rRNA from 1 species